CUUGACAAACGCAACCUCUAGUCCAAAAGCACCAAGAGAGGUUCCCUCAGGAAUGCUGUACACCUGUAAAACAAAAGACAUGAGGAUCACAUAAAAACUAGCGUGCAUUUUCAUGAAACUUGGUGUAAGGGUGGAGAAUGGACGAAGGAAGACCCCAUUACUAGGUGGCAGGCUUGAGUUACACAAGAAAGAAGGAGUCGGUUUUCAGUGACCUCAGAUCUUACGGAUCUCUCUUCAUGGGAAAC